rnacentral:rRNA from 1 species
CAUGUCUUUAUGAUUAUAAUUUAAAGUCUAAUCUGCUCAAUGAAUUAUAUUAAAUUGCCGCGGUAUUUUGACUGUGCAAAGGUAGCAUAAUAAUUAGUUUUUUUAUUGGAAGCUAGAAUGAAUGAUUGGACGAGAAAAUUUCUGUCUCUUUAAAAUUAAAUUUGAAUUUAACUUUUAAGUUAAAAGGCUUAAAUUUUUAUUAAAGACGAGAAGACCCUAAAGAGUUUUAUAAAAAAAAAUUUUAGUAAUUUUUGGUAUUUUGAUUAUAAAGUUUAAUUUUUUAUUUUGUUGGGGUGACUUAAAGAUUAAUUAAACUCUUUUAAUGUUAAGACAAAUAUUUUUGAUUUUAUAAUCUGGUAUUAAUCAAUUUUAAGCUAAAUUACCUUAGGGAUAACAGCGUAAUUUUUCUUUAAAGUUCUUAUUAAAAGGAAAGUUUGCGACCUCGAUGUUGGAUUAAAAUUUAUUUCUGGUGAAGAAGCUUGAAUUUUAGGUCUGUUCGACCUUUAAAAUUUUACAUGAUCUGAGU